rnacentral:lncRNA from 13 species
UAGGGCUCAACCACUUCAACAAAGCCCCAAAGAGGAGUCGCUACACACCUUGAAAAGGCCAUUAAAAUCCAUAACUGAUUUCCAAGCUGGUGUGUUCAAGGUGAGGAUGGUGCGUUGUGUGGCCCCUUAACAGCCUAGAACUUUGGUGCACGUGCCCUCUAGCGGAAGUCUUCAGCAAGAGGAUCGUUCCUGCUGUUAAUUUUAUUUUAUUGAGGCUGUUCAGUUUGGCUUCUCUGUAUCUAUUGACUGCCCUUUUGGGGCAAAAUGAAGGUGUUUUUAUAAAGCUUGGAUGCCAAUGAGAGUUGUUUUAUGGUAACCACAGUGCAAGGCAACUGUCAGCGCAAUGGGGGAGAAGAGAAGCUGUGAAGUAGAAGGAGUACAUUGUUCCAACUCCAGCCUGCAGGAUCCAAGGUAGACACCAAGGAGAAGAGACGAAUCAGACACAGAGUGGGAGGCUGGAAACUUAUUUCCGCACGAAGAGCAUUUACUUUGUACCUAUGGUAUACACAGCAACCAAGAGGCUCAAUGUGUGAUCUUGAUGUUAGAGAGCCGGCAGGUCUAGAGAGGAACUAUGACAGAUACAGGAAUAACUACCACACAAGGAGGCAAAAGUGGCAGAAGUAUAGACUUCUUACCUGCCUAUACUGUGUCGUGAUGAAGUCUGGGCUUUUAGUGUACCCAUCACCCAAAGAGUGAACACAGUGCCUGAAAGACAAUGAUUGUUAAAUGAAGCAUUCACAAGCAAAAUGGAGUGGGGCAGAUGUCAAAAGUAAAUUGAAAACAGUUUUUGUCAAAUAC